GACGAACGCUGGCGGCGUGCUUAACACAUGCAAGUCGAACGGAAAGGCCCUGCUUUUGUGGGGUGCUCGAGUGGCGAACGGGUGAGUAACACGUGAGUAACCUGCCCUUGACUUUGGGAUAACUUCAGGAAACUGGGGCUAAUACCGGAUAGGGGCUCCUGCUGCAUGGUGGGGGUUGGAAAGUUUCGGCGGUUGGGGAUGGACUCGCGGCUUAUCAGCUUGCUGGUGGGGUAGUGGCUUACCAAGGCUUUGACGGGUAGCCGGCCUGAGAGGGUGACCGGCCACAUUGGGACUGAGAUACGGCCCAGACUCCUACGGGAGGCAGCAGUGGGGAAUAUUGCACAAUGGGCGGAAGCCUGAUGCAGCAACGCCGCGUGCGGGAUGACGGCCUUCGGGUUGUAAACCGCUUUCGCCUGUGACGAAGCGUGAGUGACGGUAAUGGGUAAAGAAGCACCGGCUAACUACGUG
rnacentral:rRNA from 1 species